AGCGAACGCUGGCGGCAGGCUUAACACAUGCAAGUCGAGCGGCCGUAGCAAUACGGCAGCGGCAGACGGGAGAGUAACACGUGGGAACGUACCCUUCAGUUCGGAACAACCAAGGGAAACUUUGGCUAAUACCGAAUACGUCCGUAAGGAGAAAGAUUUAUCGCUGAAGGAUCGGCCCGCGUCUGAUUAGCUAGUUGGUGGGGUAACGGCUCACCAAGGCGACGAUCAGUAGCUGGUCUGAGAGGAUGAUCAGCCUCACUGGGACUGAGACACGGCCCAGACUCCUACGGGAGGCAGCAGUGGGGAAUAUUGGACAAUGGGCGCAAGCCUGAUCCAGCCAUGCCGCGUGGAUGAUGAAGGCCCUAGGGUUGUAAAGUCCUUUUAACGGGGAAGAUAAUGACGGUACCCGUAGAAUAAGCCCCGGCUAACUUCGUGCCAGCAGCCGCAGUAAAAC
rnacentral:rRNA from 1 species